rnacentral:tRNA from 1 species
GAGGGUGUAGCUCAAGUGGUAGAGCACAUGCUUAACAUGCAUGAGGUCCUGGGUUCACUCUCCAGUACCUCA